rnacentral:rRNA from 1 species
UGGGAAACUGGGGAUAAUACUGGAUAGGCAAUUUUUCCUGUAAUGGUUUUUUGUUUAAAUGUUUUUUCGCCUAAGGAUGGGUCUGCGGCCGAUUAGGUAGUUGGUUAGGUAAUGGCUUACCAAGCCGUUGAUCGGUACGGGUUGUGAGAGCAAGAGCCCGGAGAUGGAACCUGAGACAAGGUUCCAGGCCCUACGGGGUGCAGCAGGCGCGAAACCUCCGCAAUGUGAGAAAUCGCGACGGGGGGAUCCCAAGUGCCAUUCUUAACGGGAUGGCUUUUCAUUAGUGUAAAGAGCUUUUGGAAUAAGGGCUGGGCAAGACCGGUGCCAGCCGCCGCGGUAACACCGGCAGCUCUAGUGGUAGCAGUUUUUAUUGGGCCUAAAGCGUCCGUAGCCGGUUUAAUAAGUCUCUGGUGAAAUCCUGUAGCUUAACUGUGGGAAUUGCUGGAGAUACUAUUAGACUUGAGACCGGGAGAGGUUAGAGGUACUCCCAGGGUAGAGGUGAAAUUCUGUAAUCCUGGGAGGACCGCCUGUUGCGAAGGCGUCUAACUGGAACGGUUCUGACGGUGAGGGACGAAAGUUAGGGGCGCGAACCGGAUUAGAUACCCGGGUAGUCCUAACUGUAAACGAUGCGGACUUGGUGUUGGGGUGGCUUUGAGCUGCUCCAGUGCCGAAGGGAAGCUGUUAAGUCCGCCGCCUGGGAAGUACGGUCGCAAGACUGAAACUUAA